rnacentral:rRNA from 1 species
UGGGGAAUUUUGGACAAUGGACGAAAGUCUGAUCCAGCAACGCUGCGUGAAGGACGAAGGUUUUCGGAUUGUAAACUUCUUUUGCAGGGGAAGAAAAAAAUGACGGUACCCUGUGAAUAAGCCACGGCUAACUACGUGCCAGCAGCCGCGGUAAGACGUAGGUGGCGAGCGUUACUCGGAAUUACUAGGCGUAAAGCGUACGUAGGCGGAAGUUUAAGUCUGUUGUGUAAUCUCCAAGCUCAACUUGGAAACUGCAACAGAAACUGGGCUUCUUGAGUGAGGCAGAGGAAAACGGAAUUCCUGGUGUAGCAGUGAAAUGCGUAGAUAUCAGGAGGAACACCGGUGGCGAAGGCGGUUUUCUGGGCCUUUACUGACGCUAAAGUACGAAAGCUAGGGGAGC